UCCUUUCUGAACGUCUCCGAGUCUAAGUU
rnacentral:piRNA from 1 species